AUUAGACGAAUAUUAUGACGUCGAUACUCGACGUCAUGAACACCAAAGUUGAUCGUGUUUAUGACGUCGAAUAUCGACGUCAUAAACACCA